UACCAGACUCCUACGGGAGGCAGCAGCGGGGAAUAUUGGGCAAUGGGCGCAAGCCUGACCCAGCAACGCCGCGUGAAGGAAGAAGGCUUUCGGGUUGUAAACUUCUUUUGACAGGGAAGAGCAGAAGACGGUACCUGUCGAAUAAGCCACGGCUAACUACGUGCCAGCAGCCGCGGUAAUACGUAGGGAGCGAGCGUUAUCCGGAUUUAUUGGGUGUAAAGGGUGCGUAGACGGGAAUUUAAGUUAGUUGUGAAAUCCCUCGGCUCAACUGAGGAACUGCAACUAAAACUGGAUUUCUUGAGUGCUGGAGAGGAAAGCGGAAUUCCUAGUGUAGCGGUGAAAUGCGUAGAUAUUAGGAGGAACACCAGUGGCGAAGGCGGCUUUCUGGACAGUAACUGACGUUGAGGCACGAAAGUGUGGGGAGCAAACAGGAUUAGAUACCCUCGUA
rnacentral:rRNA from 1 species